AACGAACGCUGGCGGCAGGCCUAACACAUGCAAGUCGAACGCGUGUAGCAAUACACGAGUGGCGCACGGGUGAGUAACACGUGGGAAUCAACCCAGAGGUUCGGAAUAACCGCGGGAAACUGCGGCUAAUACCGGAUAUCCCCUACGGGGGAAAGAUUUAUCGCCUUUGGACGAGCCCGCGUCCGAUUAGCUAGUUGGUGAGGUAACGGCUCACCAAGGCUACGAUCGGUAGCUGGUCUGAGAGGAUGACCAGCCACACUGGAACUGAGAUACGGUCCAGACUCCUACGGGAGGCAGCAGUGGGGAAUAUUGGGCAAUGGAGGCAACUCUGACCCAGCCAUGCCGCGUGGGUGACGAAGGUCUUCGGAUUGUAAAGCCCUUUCGGCGGGGACGAUGAUGACGGUACCCGCAGAAGAAGCCCCGGCUAACUUCGUGCCAGCAGCCGCCGUAAUAA
rnacentral:rRNA from 1 species